rnacentral:ncRNA from 1 species
UGAAAAGUAAUGAUGAGGACAAGGGUAUUCCUUUACGGUUUCCAGAGAGGAAAGGCAUGGUGAAAACUUUCCAUCACGAAAUGAAUACUUACCACCUCUAAACUUCAGCUGUGAACGUUAAAUGUUUAACUAGUAAUAGUUGACGGGUACAUUCCGUUAAAAAUUUCCUAAGUCAUUUUUGUUUUUUUGGAAAUGAAAAAUAGGGUGGAACCACGUGUAAAUAAUACUCGUCCCUUUC